rnacentral:rRNA from 1 species
UACGUAGGGGGCAAGCGUUGUCCGGAUUUAUUGGGCGUAAAGAGCGUGUAGGCGGUUAGGUAGGUCCGUUGUGAAAACUCGAGGCUCAACCUCGAGACGCCGAUGGAAACCAUCUAACUAGAGUCCGGAAGAGGAGAAUGGAAUUCCUGGUGUAGCGGUGAAAUGACGCAGAUAUCAGGAAGAACACCCGUGGCUAAGGCGGUUCUCUAGUACGGUACUGACGCUGAGACGCGAAAGCGUGGGGAGCGAACAGG